rnacentral:rRNA from 1 species
GGUUGCUGCUAUUGGAAUCCGACUAAGCCAUGCAAGUCCAGGCCCCCCUUCGGGGGGACCGGCGCAAUGCUCAGUAACACGUCGAUAAUCUACCCUACAGUCAGGGAUAACCUCGGGAAACUGAGGAUAACACCUGAUAGGGGAUAAUGUCUGGAAUGAUUUAUCCCUGAAAAGCAAUGCUGUAGGAUGAGUCGGCGGCUGAUUAGGUAGUUGGCGGGGUAAUGGCCCACCAAGCCCACGAUCAGUAGGGGCCUUGAAAGAGGGAGCCCCGAGAAGGUCACUGAAACACCGGACCUAGCCCUACGGGGUGCAGCAGGCGCGAAACCUUUACAAUGCACGCAAGUGUGAUAAGGGGAUUCCAAGUGCUCAAGUUUUACUUGGGCUUUUGCUGAGAGUAAAUACCUCGGCGAAUAAGUGGUGGGCAAGACUGGUGCCAGCAGCCGCGGUAACACCAGCGCCACAAGUGGGAACCAGAAUUAUUGGGCCUAAAGCGUUCGUAGCCGGUUGUGUAAAUCUUUUGUGAAAUCGCCAGGCUUAACUUGGCGGACUGCAGAAGAGACUGCACAACUAGGGACCGGGAGGGGUCGGGAGUAUUAAUUGGGGAGCGGUAAAUGCUAUAAUCCAAUUAAGACUACCUGUGGCGAAGGCGCCUGACCAGAACGGAUCCGACGGUGAGGAACGAAAGCUAGGGGAGCGAUCCGGAUUAGAUACCCGAGUAGUCCUAGCCGUAAACUCUGCGAGCAAGGUGUUGCAUGUUUUACGUGAAUAUGCAGUGUCGAAACGAAGGUGAUAAGCUCGCCGCCUGGGGAGUACGGUCGCAAGACUGAAAC